GAUGAACGCUGGCGGCGUGCCUAACACAUGCAAGUCGAGCGAUCUUCUUCGGAAGAGAGCGGCGGACGGGUGAGUAACGCGUGGGUAACCUGCCUCAUACACAUGGAUAACAUACCGAAAGGUAUGCUAAUACAAGAUGAUAUAAGAGAUUCGCAUGGAUUUCUUAUCAAAGCUCCGGCGGUAUGAGAUGGACCCGCGUCUGAUUAGCUAGUUGGUAAGGUAACGGCUUACCAAGGCGACGAUCAGUAGCCGACCUGAGAGGGUGAUCGGCCACAUUGGAACUGAGACACGGUCCAAACUCCUACGGGAGGCAGCAGUGGGGAAUAUUGCACAAUGGGCGAAAGCCUGAUGCAGCAACGCCGCGUGAGCGAUGAAGGCCUUCGGGUCGUAAAGCUCUGUCCUCAAGGAAGAUAAUGACGGUACCUGACUAAGAAGCUCCGGCUAAAUACGUGCCAGCCGCCGCGGUAA
rnacentral:rRNA from 1 species